GCGAGGAUAGCCAAGCGGCUAAGGCGAGCGGCUGCAACCCGCUUAUUCGCCGGUUCGAGUCCGGCUCCUCGCU
rnacentral:tRNA from 1 species